UUGAUCAGAGCGUGGUCACGUUGUUCCUCCGAAAUUGUUUUAACACUAUAGUGUAAUUUAAAGUUAAUCUGUGCUAACAAUAAAAGUUUGUAGUGAAAUAUCAAGUGUUGUGAAGUCAAGCAUCAACUUGAAAAUUUAUAAACUUAAAACUUAACCUCCUAACCUAUAAAUUGCUUUGAGUGUAGUACACUUUAUUUUCUUUUGGAGUUUUGACUUCAUCAAAAUGAGCAAAAGAAAUAAAAAUUGUAAAGCUUUCCGUAAAAACAAGAAACAAAAAAAAAUGGACUUCUUAUUAGAAGAAUACGAUGGUAUGAUAUGUGAUGCAGAAAGUGAGUGUCGUACAUCUUUUGUGAAAAAUGAAGAAUCAAGUAUUAUUCAAGAUUGUUUUAAGAAAGAGAGUGAGAGUGAUAAUCCUUCAGACGACAAUCAAGCGGAGUCACAGGAUGAUAAGUUCUCUCAGUCAGAAGUGGUUCAACAAAUUCAAGAAUGGAUUGUGGACACGCAAACACCUCAAGUACAUUCAGACAAAUUGUUGAAAAUUAUGCGAGUAAAAGUUUUACCAACAUUGCCAAAUUGCACUAAAACUCUUUUAAAGAGUAAUGUGAAAUUUGACAUAAAACAAAUGGAAGUAGCUGAUGGUACAUUUGGCGAGUUCCAUUAUUUUGGAAUGAAAAAAAAGUUGCACGAUACAGUGAAAGUUGAAUGUCAUGAAACACAAGUAUUGGAAUUAAUGUUCAAUAUAGAUGGGUUUUCACCAUUUAAAUCUAGUUCUGUUACUGUUUGGCCAAUACUUUGCAAAGUGUACACCAAACAAGAUAAACAUUAUCAACCUUUUAGUGUUGCAGUGUAUGCUGGUAAAGGAAAGCCAAAAUGCUCGUGUGAAUAUUUAAGUGAAUUUGUUCAGGAAUUGCAAGACUUAUUGACUAAUGGACUAAAGAUUAAUAAUCUACAUUUUAAAGUGAAAAUCAAGCAUUUUUGUUGUGACACUCCUGCCCGGUCAUUUAUAAAAUGCAUACUUGGCCAUACAGCAUUUCGUGCUUGUGAGAGGUGUAGAGUCCUUGGCAAGAAAGUUGACGGAGUAACUGUAUUUCUGGAAGUCGAUGAGCCUAGAAAAACAGACGAAGAUUUUCUCAAUUUUAUUGACUCAGAAUGUCAUACUGCAGUAUCAUUGCUGAGUAUAUUGAAUCCUCCAGUCAAGAUGGUAUCACACUUUGUUCUUGAUCCAAUGCAUCUUUUAUAUCUUGGAUGUACAAAGAGAAUUUUAGAAUUUUUGCUGUCCCCUUCGAAAAACAAGAUUCGAUUGAGUGCAACUCAGAAACUUGAAUUGGAGCGUAGAAGUGUUCAAAUUUAUCCAGAUAUUCCAGAUGAGUUCCCAAGAAAAUUGAGGUCGACAAAGGAUUGGGCCAAGUAUAAGGCAGUAGAGUACAAAUUUUUUAUUCUCUAUGCGUCACCAGUUAUUUUAAAAAAUUUAGUAUCAGAUGAUUUGUAUGAUCAUUUAAUGUCAUUCAAUGUAGCAUGCAGGUUAAUGUCAAGUGAGAAUGCACUCCUUCAUGUUGACGAAGCUAGACAGUAUUUGAAAAGUUUUGUUGAAAAAGCUCCUGAUUUAUUCGGACCAACAUUCAUGUCACUUAACAUUCAUAACUUGAUACACAUCUGUGACGACGUGGAAAAUUUAAGCUGCAAUUUUAAUGAACUUAGUGCAUUUGCUUUUGAAUCUUAUUUGGGAAAAAUUAGUAGUGCAUUACGAUCAGCAAACCAUAUAGUGGCUCAGUACUGUAGAAGAGUUCAAGAAAAGGACAUGUUCGCUGUUCAGACAUCAAACAAUAAUCCAAGUGUUUUAAUUCUACAAGAAGAUAAAACUAAAGUUAUUAAAGUUAAAUAUUGUGAAAUGAUUCUAUCACAUAGCAAUCCGAACAAAACAGUUCUUUUACAAGACAGAAGUGUAGUUGAGAUUGAAAAGAUUUAUAAGCACGCUGAUGACAGCAUUCGAGUUCAAGUGAGAAGAUAUUUGAGAAAAGAAAAUAUUUUUGAUCAACCGUGUAAUUCAAGCAGUUUAAAUAUGUGGCAAGUCAGUCGCCUUUCCCCAACAGUCAUAGAUAUACCAUUGAAGUCGAUUGUUCAGAAAUUUGUUAAGCUGACAAUGAACUAUUCAGACUCACCAGAAGAAACAAGAAUAUUCGUAAUUCCAUUAAUGCACUAAACAUUUUUUCAAUACUUAGUGAUUAUGGACUGAAGAGGUUAUAUAUAAGUGUGUUUGAAUGUCUGAUAACAGAUACAGUGACUCUGACAGCAGCAGUGGAGAUGAUGAAUUGAAAGAGUUUGUCCUGGUGGAGUUCAUACACCGUGGAAGAAAAAAGAAGUGUGAAUCUGCAG